UGGGGAAUUUUGGACAAUGGGCGAAAGCCUGAUCCAGCAAUGCCGCGUGUGUGAAGAAGGCCUUCGGGUUGUAAAGCACUUUUGUCCGGAAAGAAAUCCUUGGCUCUAAUACAGUCGGGGGAUGACGGUACCGGAAGAAUAAGCACCGGCUAACUACGUGCCAGCAGCCGCGGUAAUACGUAGGGUGCAAGCGUUAAUCGGAAUUACUGGGCGUAAAGCGUGCGCAGGCGGUUUGCUAAGACCGAUGUGAAAUCCCCGGGCUCAACCUGGGAACUGCAUUGGUGACUGGCAGGCUAGAGUAUGGCAGAGGGGGGUAGAAUUCCACGUGUAGCAGUGAAAUGCGUAGAGAUGUGGAGGAAUACCGAUGGCGAAGGCAGCCCCCUGGGCCAAUACUGACGCUCAUGCACGAAAGCGUGGGGAGCAAACAGGAUUAGAUACCCUGGUAGUCCACGCCCUAAACGAUGUCAACUAGUUGUUGGGAUUCAUUCCUUAGUAACGUAGCUAACGCGUGAAGUUGACCGCCUGGGGAGUACGGUCGCAAGAUUAAAACUUAAAGGAAUUGACGGGGUC
rnacentral:rRNA from 1 species